rnacentral:rRNA from 1 species
AUUGAACGCUGGCGGCAGGCUUAACACAUGCAAGUCGAGCGGAGAUGAGGUGCUUGCACCUUAUCUUAGCGGCGGACGGGUGAGUGAUGCUUAGGAAUCUGCCUAUUAGUGGGGGACAACAUUCCGAAAGGAAUGCUAAUACCGCAUACGUCCUACGGGAGAAAGCAGGGGAUCUUCGGACCUUGCGCUAAUAGAUGAGCCUAAGUCGGAUUAGCUAGUGGGUGGGGUAAAGGCCUACCAAGGCGACGAUCUGUAGCGGGUCUGAGAGGAUGAGCCGCCACACUGGGACUGAGACACUGCCAAGACUCCUACGGGAGGCAGCAGUGGGGAAUAUUGGACAAUGGGGGGGGCCCUGAUCCAGCCAUGCUGCGUGUGUGAAGAAGGCCUUAUGGUUGUAAAGCACUUUAAGCGAGGAGGAGGCUACUGAGACUAAUACUCUUGGAUAGUGGACGUUACUCGCAGAAUAAGCACCGGCUAACUCUGUGCCAGCAGCCGCGGUAACAC